rnacentral:lncRNA from 1 species
AGAGAAUGCUGAUGAUGAAAACGAUGGAGUUACUAAUAGCAAAAUAGCAGAGGAGGAUUUUGGGAAGAGCUUUGCUGAGAAAUAUUGAAUUAUAUUAGAUACUUCCCCCUCCAGUAUUGUCCGAGGGCAUCUUUAUUUUCUCUUAGAGUGUUGAUAGAAAAUACAUUGUAUGUGUUUCAUUUACGUGACACAUUCCCAGAGACUCAAAGUAUCUUGAGCUGUGUGUUUGGUACAAUACAAUAAGGUUAGGACACACAGUCAGACUGAGUCAGUGGUAUAUACAUGUACUGGUACAUGU